rnacentral:rRNA from 1 species
UACGUAGGGGGCAAGCGUUGUCCGGAUUUAUUGGGCGUAAAGAGCGUGUAGGCGGCCUGGAAGGUCAGCUGUGAAAACUCGAGGCUCAACCUCGAGACGUCGGUUGAAACCACCUGGCUAGAGUCCGGAAGAGGAGAGUGGAAUUCCCGGUGUAGCGGUGAAAUGCGCAGAUAUCGGGAGGAACACCAGUGGCGAAGGCGGCACUCUGGGCCGGAACUGACGCUGAGGAGCGAAAGCGUGGGGAGCGAACAGG